rnacentral:tRNA from 1 species
UAAGAAUUAGUUAAAUAAUAACAUUAAAUUGUCAAUUUAAAAUUACUAUUAUUUUAAAUUUGUGUAUUCUUAA